rnacentral:rRNA from 1 species
CGCUAUCACUCCUACGGGAGGCAGCAGUGGGGAAUAUUGCACAAUGGGCGCAAGCCUGAUGCAGCCAUGCCGCGUGUGUGAAGAAGGCCUUCGGGUUGUAAAGUACUUUCAGCAGUGAGGAAGGCAGGUACGUUAAUAGCGUGCUUGUUGACGUUAGCUGCAGAAGAAGCACCGGCUAACUCCGUGCCAGCAGCCGCGGUAAUACGGAGGGUGCGAGCGUUAAUCGGAAUUACUGGGCGUAAAGCGCAUGCAGGCGGCCUGUUAAGUCAGAUGUGAAAGCCCGGGGCUUAACCUCGGAAUUGCAUUUGAAACUGGCAGGCUAGAGUCUUGUAGAGGGGGUAGAAUUUCAGGUGUAGCGGUGAAAUGCGUAGAGAUCUGAAGGAAUACCAGUGGCGAAGGCGGCCCCCUGGACAAAGACUGACGCUCAGAUGCGAAAGCGUGGGGAGCAAACAGGAUUAGAUACCCUGGUAG